CUGGAAGCUUAGACUCAGAAGUCAAACUGUUCCACUUCUACCUCAUUCUGUUCAUAAGAAAGAGUCAUAGUGCCAGGACAGAUUCAAAAGAAGGUGGCUGGAAAUAGACUCUACCUUUUAAUGGUAGUAGGUACAAAUAAUUAAUGACUAUUUAACAUUUAUCAUAGGCUCUUAACUCUGAUAUGAAAGCAAUCUGAAAUUAUUUCAUUUUAAAGUUAUUUUAUAUUUAAAUAAUCCUGAGAUAGGGAUGAUCCUAGUAAGAAGAGAAGCCUGGAAAACAGGCUGUAGUCAUGAACCCAAAAGAUAAUAAUAAACAUAAUAACAGCAAAGAGUAAUAUUUUUCUUAUUAAAUGGUAAGCACUGUUUCAAGUCCUUUACAUUAACUCAUUUAAUCAUUACAAAAUCUUAUGAACAACAAUUAAGAGCUAUUAUUUUUAUUGCUGUUCUAUAGGCAAGAAAAUUGAGGCACAGAGAAUGUUAAGUGACUCCCCCAAAGUUGUAUAGUUACUAGUGGUGGAACUGGGAUUCCACCAAAGUUUCAGGCUACCGAAUCUGGACAUUAACCCCAAGUGUAUCUCAAGUUAAUGAUGUCCUUGAGUAACAGAAGCAAGGAGUAGAAGAGGACGAGGAGGAGGAGGAGGAGGGAAGAAAGUUAAUUGAGAAAGACAUAUGAGUUUGACCUGUCCAAUCCGUGAGAUCACAAUGCUACUACUCUGUCGUGCUCUAGCUGUGGCUACCAUCCAGAUCUUUAUCUUCUCAGAGAACCAGGCGUUUGCCAAGAACAUCAACUUCUACAAUGUGAGGCCUCCUCUUGACCCCACACCAUUUCCAAACAGCUUCAAGUGUUUUACCUGUGAAAAUGCAGGAGAUAACUAUAACUGCAACCGAUGGGCCGAAGACAAAUGGUGUCCACAGAACACACAGUAUUGUUUGACAGUUCAUCACUUCACCAGCCAUGGAAGAAGUACCUCCAUCACCAAAAAGUGUGCCUCCAAAAAUGAAUGUCAUUUCGUUGGAUGCCACCACAGCCAAGAUUCUGAACAUACGGAAUGCAGGUCUUGCUGUGAAGGAAUGAUCUGCAAUGUAGAACUGCCCACCAACCACACAAAUGCAGUCUUUGCUGUGAUGCACGCUCAGAGGACAUCUGGCAGCAGUGUCACCACACCCUACCUGCCAGUAUUUGUCUGGGUCUUCAUGCUUCCACUGCUAUGAUGCCACCUUUUUUAGGAGAGGGAGAGACUAGCCCUCUAAAGCACAAGGCAAAAACUGUGUGAACACUGGAGUGAAGAUCAGUCUUGCACUUGGUGAAGAUGGUACACUGGACCCCAAAGCAGAAGCCAGUGAUUUGCUUUGCUAAACUUUUCUUGCAUGAGAUCAUAGCAUUGAGAAUGGGGUCUUGGUAGGGACCGAAAGGACUGAGUUCCAUGCUCCCUCAUCAGAGGGGGUUGCAUCCUAUCAGUUCUAUCGGAAAUAUCCGGUCAGUAUUGUUGACAAGUGAUAAUACUCUGGCUAGUCCUGGCCUGACCAUGCCUUUAGCUGAAAGGACUUCUUGACUUCACUGACUCACUCAGAGGCUGCCUAGUCAGGCGCUCUGGUUUCUGUGGUUAUCUCUGAGUGUCUGCAAUCUCAUCCACAGGUGAGAAAGCAGUAUCUGCACUACAUUAGACAUCCUGAGAUAAUCAGCUCAUAAUGAGGAAAGGUUUACUGUGGCUCAUGGUUGUGAAGGUCUCAGUCCAUGAUCUACUGUUGCCUUUAGGCCUGUGAUGAGGCAGCACACAUGGUAGAGAGUGUGUGACUGAGCAAAAAGCCACUCUGCUCAUGGUGUGACAUUGAAGGAAAGGAGAGGAGACUAGGCUCUCACGAUCCCCUUCGAGAGUGGACCCCCAGUUACCUAAAACCUCUCACUAUGUCCCUUCUCCUGAAGGUACUACCACCUCCCAGUGGCAUGCAGACUGGGGACCAAGCUUUUAACACAUGAGCCCUUGGGGGACACUCAAGAUGCAAGCCACAGCACCCAGCAACAGUGUAGUCAGUGAGAAAGGCAACUGUUUAGGAAAACUUUUGCUCGAACUAAUGUGAACUCCAUUUGCCAGUCGUCAGGUGGGGGUGGGGGGAAUAAGGCUUUUCAGUUACACAAUGUAAAUGCAUGCUGUGUGUUUCUUGACUGACAGAGGCCCACAAUGAGACAAAUUUACCAAUGUCACUGAACUUGAAUUUCCACGUACCAGGGGUGACAUAUGCUGGCUUAAAGAAUAAAAUUCUAUGCCAAAGUAGCUUGGUUGUGUUUCUUUUCUAGGCAAGAAUUUUGGGGAAGUUAAAUGUGAACUUAGUGAAUUGAAGAGAUUAGGAAACCUUCCUGAUCAAGGAGAAAGAUUUAUUUCAAGGUGCACUCUCAGAAAUAGGUUAAAGGUUUAAAGAUUCUAGGUCAGAGGCAAUGACAGGCCAUCCCUUCUCCCCCACCCUCUCACCUUUUUCCUGAAUUUCAAGCCCACGAAGAGACCCUCUCUAAACACAUGUUGAAAUGUUUGGACUUAAUGUCUCCUCCUUUAUAACAGAAUCUCAAAUUUUCAAAUGAAUAUCUUCUCUCUGUUUCUAGAAGACUGAUUUCCUGCCUUUACACUUUGACGUGACCUUUAACACAGUGCCCCUGUAUGUGUAGUGAUGAUUUAGUGGAAUUUUUUUCUCCUACUAAACAUUCACUGUUAGAAUGUUGGCUGCUCUGUAGGGCCCACUGAUGAAGAUAUCCUGGUCAUAUAGGUUCAUCUGUUAUAUGUCUGUCUCAUCUAUAUCUGUUUCCAAC
ensembl:lincRNA